rnacentral:rRNA from 1 species
AUACGGAGGGUGCAAGCGUUACUCGGAAUCACUGGGCGUAAAGCGCGCGCAGGCGGCUAUUUAAGUUGGAUGUGAAAGCCUAUGGCUCAACCGUAGAACUGCAUCCAAAACUAUUUAGCUAGAGUGUGGGAGAGGAAGAUGGAAUUAGUUGUGUAGGGGUAAAAUCCGUAGAGAUAACUAGGAAUACCAAAAGCGAAGGCAAUCUUCUGGAACACUACUGACGCUGAGGCGCGAAAGCGUGGGGAGCAAACAGGAUUAGAUACCCUAGUAGUCC